AUUGAACGCUGGCGGCAGGCCUAACACAUGCAAGUCGAACGAGUGGCGGACGGGUGAGUAAUGUCUGGGAAACUGCCCGAUGGAGGGGGAUAACUACUGGAAACGGUAGCUAAUACCGCAUACCAUCGGAUGUGCCCAGAUGGGAUUAGCUAGUAGGUGGGGUAACGGCUCACCUAGGCGACGAUCCCUAGCUGGUCUGAGAGGAUGACCAGCCACACUGGAACUGAGACACGGUCCAGACUCCUACGGGAGGCAGCAGGGGGGAAUUUUGUACAAUGGGGGCAACCCUGAUUCAGCCAUGCCGCGUGUAUGAAGAAGGCCUUCGGGUUGUAAAGUACUUUGAGCGAGGAGGCGUUACUCGCAGAAGAAGCACCGGCUAACUACGUGCCAGCAGCCGCGGUAAUUC
rnacentral:rRNA from 1 species